rnacentral:lncRNA from 1 species
GUUAACUACAGGCACGAUGCCGUACGGCAGAUCUGUAGAGCUUGCUCUUCUGCUGUAACUGAACUUUAUGUAACAUUUUUAGAGGAAGUAAACAGCCGCAGUAGAACAUGCUGUUACGACAAACGUCCUGGAGGUGGCAGCAGAGGUCUAAGGAGUGACACAUCCUACCCGUGCACUCUGGACAAGCCUUUGGAUGUCACCACCUCUGUCUGGGCUACAAGCUAUUGGCAAGUCUUCCAGCUGAAAGUGCCAGUUGCACAGUCCCAAGGCGCUCCACAGCAUUCCCAGGUCGCCGACAGUUGACUCCAGAGACUGCUUGCUUCCAAGCCAGACUGUUGGAAACUCUGUGAUGUUCCAAGCAAGACGCCUGGAGUAAUAAGCGACAGAGGACGUAGAAUGCAGGCGUUGACUCUCAGGCAAGUAACUUGGUGCUGCACCGCUUGCCACCACCCGAGGCUUCCCUGUGCGACAGAGGAGAUGGCUGACAUGCGAGUGUGCCGUGACACGUAGACUGAUUGUUCUCAGUGUUUCAAAAUGACAUCUACAAGCCCUGUAGCAGGUUUCGGAGGCCCAGAUCCCUGGGGUACAAAAGGGAGUCGAGCUCCUUCGCUUCCUUUCCUGGACGCCUUCCUUCCCAGGAAUAAAGAGCACAG